GGGGGCGUAAAGGUUUCGACAGGGAUUAUGAAACUGGGCAAGCGGGUAGUGUAGCGGAAACACUUAAAAGCCGCAAUUUAAAUAAUAAACGACAACAAUAAAGUUGCCUUAGCAGCCUAAUUAGGCUGCCGUCCAACCAAAGAGUACCGCGGCUUUGCGCGGGCGUCAUUUUAGCGGUUAAUCUGAAUAAAACGGUUCCCAACGCUUUAUCAGAAAUUAUCGGGAUGCACAAAAAAUUAUUUUGUUAGCUUGGCAUUUUUUGUAAAGCCUUCAAACUGACUGCACCCGGAGAAAACCCAGUGAAUUGAUUUUUGGACAGGAGUUCGAUUCUCCUCGCCUCCACCA
rnacentral:tmRNA from 1 species